AUUGAACGCUGGCGGCAGGCCUAACACAUGCAAGUCGAGCGGAUGAAGGGAGCUUGCUCCUGGAUUCAGCGGCGGACGGGUGAGUAAUGCCUAGGAAUCUGCCUGGUAGUGGGGGAUAACGUCCGGAAACGGGCGCUAAUACCGCAUACGUCCUGAGGGAGUAAGUGGGGGAUCUUCGGACCUCACGCUAUCAGAUGAGCCUAGGUCGGAUUAGCUAGUUGGUGGGGUAAAGGCCUACCAAGGCGACGAUCCGUAACUGGUCUGAGAGGAUGAUCAGUCACACUGGAACUGAGACACGGUCCAGACUCCUACGGGAGGCAGCAGUGGGGAAUAUUGGACAAUGGGCGAAAGCCUGAUCCAGCCAUGCUGCGUGUGUGAAGAAGGUCUUCGGAUUGUAAAGCACUUUAAGUUGGGAGGAAGGGCAGUAAGUUAAUACCUUGCUGUUUUGACGUUACCAACAGAAUAAGCACCGGCUAACUUCGUG
rnacentral:rRNA from 1 species